rnacentral:rRNA from 1 species
GACGAACGCUGGCGGCGCGCCUAACACAUGCAAGUCGAACGAGCGAGAGAGAGCUUGCUUUCUCGAGCGAGUGGCGAACGGGUGAGUAACGCGUGAGGAACCUGCCUCAAAGAGGGGGACAACAGUUGGAAACGACUGCUAAUACCGCAUAAGCCCACGGCUCGGCAUCGAGCAGAGGGAAAAGGAGCAAUCCGCUUUGAGAUGGCCUCGCGUCCGAUUAGCUAGUUGGUGAGGUAACGGCCCACCAAGGCGACGAUCGGUAGCCGGACUGAGAGGUUGAACGGCCACAUUGGGACUGAGACACGGCCCAGACUCCUACGGGAGGCAGCAGUGGGGGAUAUUGCACAAUGGGGGAAACCCUGAUGCAGCGACGCCGCGUGAGUGAAGAAGUAUUUCGGUAUGUAAAGCUCUAUCAGCAGGAAAGAUAAUGACGGUACCUGACUAAGAAGCACCGGCUAACUACGUGCCAGCAGCC